rnacentral:tRNA from 1 species
UAGGGAGACCAUCUGAUCAUCGACCGAACCUAAACAAUAGGUCGUUGUCAGUCAUCCCUGGUCGUUCGAGGUAUAGAUGUCAAAGCUUUCAAACUAUUAACUGGCUCGGAAUAUGGGCUAUUAGCUCAGCUGGUUAGAGCGCACCCCUGAUAAGGGUGAGGUCCCUGGUUCAAAUCCAGGAUGGCCCACCUGGCAAAAAAGUGAUGAAUUUUAAGUAAUGAGUAAUGGAUAAUCAAUGAUUAAUUCAGAACUCAUACAAUCAAAAUCAGAACUACUUAGUGGGGGUAUAGCUCAGUUGGUAGAGCGCCUGCCUUGCACGCAGGAAGUCAGCGGUUCGAGUCCGCUUACCUCCACUCUCACUGUCCCUAACUCGCCCCUGGCAACCACAAAAAGAGCCACAAAAAGAGAUAGAAAUCAGCACCCAGACUAACUUGGUCAUUUGAGAUCAAAGAAGUCGGAAUGCUGGAGUCGAGAACUCUAGUCAGAACCUUGAAAACUGCAUAGAAAUUAAGUCAUCAAAGCGUGUCUAUCAUCCGAGUAAUCGGAAGAUAAGACAAGCGACAACCAUCAAAAGAUUAAGU